UACGUAGGGGGCAAGCGUUAUCCGGAUUUACUGGGUGUAAAGGGGGCGCAGACGGCGAUGCAAGCCAGGAGUGAAAGCCCGGGGCCCAACCCCGGGACUGCUCUUGGAACUGCGUGGCUGGAGUGCAGGAGGGGCAGGCGGAAUUCCUGGUGUAGCGGUGAAAUGCGUAGAUAUUAGGAGGAACACCAGUUGCGAAGGCGGCUCUCUGGACUGUAACUGACACUGAGGCUCGAAAGCGUGGGGAGCAAACAGG
rnacentral:rRNA from 1 species